rnacentral:tRNA from 1 species
AGCUCAGUUAGUAAAGCAUCUGCCUGCAAUGCAGGAGACCCUGGUUCGAUUCCUGG